rnacentral:rRNA from 1 species
UACGGAGGGUGCAAGCGUUAAUCGGAAUUACUGGGCGUAAAGGGUGCGUAGGUGGAAAUUUAAGUUAGCUGUGAAAGACCUGGGAUUAACCUGGGGGUGUCAGCUAAGACUGGAUAUCUAGAGUAUAGGAGAGGGUAGUGGAAUUUCCGGUGUAGCGGUGAAAUGCGUAGAGAUCGGAAGGAACACCAGUGGCGAAGGCGGCUACCUGGCCUGAUACUGACACUGAGGCACGAAAGCGUGGGGAGCAAACAGG